AUCACUUCUCUUCCUUUUGGCUGAUAUCAAGUGUAGUAUCUGUUAUUAUCAGUUUAAUACCUGACACAUUCUCUCUUUGAGGAUGUUAUCUUAAAUGGAAUUUUGGAGCUGGCAGGUGGAAUAGGAUCUUGCUUCAUCCACUCCAAGCAUCGACCUGGUAUAGUGGUACUUAUGGAAGUGGUGCACCCUUU